UGUCAGCACAGAACUAGAUGUGAGGCUUGAACUCACCGAUCACGAGAUCAUGAGCUGAGCCAAAGCCAAGAGUCAGAUGCUUAACUGACUGAGCCACCCAGGCGUCCCUGGAGUUGUCCUUUAGAAAUCCUUCCUGCACAUUCUGAGGGCAGUGCCACGACAAACAAGAAUGUUUGCAGAGGAAACAUUUUGCCCAGGAAAUCCCGCUCUGACCGUUACAGAAAGACAUCAGGAAGUCUCCAGAGCCCAACGGUUCAGAAAAUGCCAAACAAGGAAACGUGACAGUCUGAAGGGUCCGCGGUGCCCCGGGGAUGGGGCACAGGGAACAGUGUGAGAGAGGGGGCGCCAGGAGCUGACCUUUCACUGCACUGGCAUCAUGUGCAGGAGCCCUGGAUGGGCGGCCAAAGUCAGCUGACCUCACAGCCAGCGCCUGGGGACAUUAGAAGGAGGCUUACAAAUGACUCAGUUGAAAGUCUGCUUGUGAGGAAGCAGGAAGAAAAGUCAUUGUUCCAGGAUCCCAAAGGAAACCAGUGUGACAGCAAGAAGUUGUGGGGUUGUGACAGCAGAAGGGGAUGUGCCUGAGAUCCGAACCCCAGCGCGGAGGCGGUGACUCUUCUACAUAAAGGUUGUGGGUUAAAAGGUGGGCAGUGGGAGGGCUCUGCCUGGUGCAGGAAUAAGACGAAGGGGUCAUUGUCUGCAGAGAAUUUAAAGCCGUUAGCAAAGCCAUCUGAAAGUUGGUCUGUUUUUCACUAUAACCUUGCACUGGCAAAUCUUAAGUAACGUUACCGAUCCAACAUUCUGCCCUGAAUAAUCUUUCGUUGGUCCAGGUUCUAGACAACCGUGCUUACUGUUGAGUUUAGCACUAUGUCCUUAAGCCUAAAUUAGCACAUUCUUAUUCUUUAUCCUUUUAAAAAACGCUGUAUUCCACUUGGAAGUUCACUUGCCACGCCUUUGUUGCCAAAUAGCUUUUGAGAAGGAAACAAUGGGAGCCUUGAAGACCCAGACAAGAAGUUGAUACAAAAAUAUUUGCAAACUGGCAGAAUCCACCUUGAACAAGGCACACAACACUUUAAAAUGAUUCCUUGAGGUCAGUGCAAACAAACUGUGGCGAGGACAAUUACUUCUGCAAAGCAACAACAACAACAAAGUGAGGAAAUAGAUAAAAGAAUCAAAUUUAGGGAAGAAACGUUAGGAGAAAUGACCAAAGGUGCCAGUCUUAGAUUGCCUGAUGAAAUUCAAAGGGCAGUGUUUGAAGCCCGAAUCACUUUCUCUAGGAACUGGACAAGAACACAACGGCUCAGGCAAGUCCCUAUUUGCCGUCUUUUGGAUGCUUUCUCUGGGUUUUGCACGUGUAAAACUUGAGACCCAAAUACAAUAGAAAUUUGUGAUACAUUUGCCGGCGUUUGGUGAAAGUUUGUCCACGGUGAAGACACUUGAGAGCUGCUAGAACUGGUCCUGAAGAAACGAAGAAACAAAGAUGUGAACUGUAUUGCCCUUUCUGGAAUUUGCUGUGACAUGGGAUGGGUAUCUGCCAAAUUUAUCUUUAUGUUUAAGGCUUUCCUUCUCGACUUAGAUGCCUCUUGUUAUAGGGAAAACUUCAGCGUAUGUCAGCUACACUUCAAUUUUUAAAAGGAGAGAAAACUUUAGCAAUUAAAAGGAGCGAAACAUAUUCCCCGAUGAACUAUGUGACACAUUGGCAAAUCUGGCUAUGUGCCUAUUGAAGGGGACAAUUCAGGAUCGAUUUUGAUGAAAUCAUUGUCAAAUGCGUAGACACGUCUCAAAGACAAAAACUGUAAUGUUCUAUUUGUUACCGACAUGUAGGCAAGAGAUCUCCCUUUCCUUAAAAAAAAAAAAAAAGACGUCUUUACUCCCCUCCCCUUUUUUGGUAAUGUCCUAUUAUUUAUUUACUGAUUAUUCAUUAAUUUAUUUAACUUCCAUGAUUAUGUAUGUGAAGUGCGAUAAAAGAAAAAUUUCGUUCCCUGCCGAA